UUAAAAGAUCCACAGUCCCCUCUAAUGAAGUGAACCUCAAAUUUUCCUCACAAUAUAAGAUGUCCUUGAUUCUUAGGAUGUUGUUUUUUUUUUUUUUAAAUAGAGUUUGACGUUCAAAUAUGUAAAAAAAUAUGUAAAAAACCAAUGUCUCAUUGGUUGCUAAAUCUUGCUCUUGAGGGCUAAAAAUGACAUACCAGGAGAGGAAUUAUGGGUUGACUAAAGCAUGAGACUUCCCUGCUGACUAAGUGGUCAUAGGAUGGUCAUCUGCUCAUGUUGGGCAAGAAAGUAUGAUCUGAAGUACAAAUAUAAGUUGUGGAACCUUCCACAGAAUCAAGGCAUCCCAGCCACACUGGUUUGGACUUGAAAUUUGAACAAAAGAGGAUAGAGAGAUCUUUGUCAGCAUUCUGGUGGUUGAACAAGUGAAUUUCAUAACUGGUAAACAAGUGGUGAACAUAGGAUUAAAGUUUAAGGACUAUUAUGAUAAUAUAUUUUAUUUAAUUAUCUCUAUAUGAUUUAUGUAAAAUAUCAAACUGAUUAAUGUUGAUUGGAGCAGAGGUCCAAAUAAAUCAUUUUUCAUAGGGGAAUAGCAUGAGAAAAAAAUAAGAAAUUUGACUGUAAUAAUGGGGACCUAAUGAGAAUAGAAUUUCAUAAUAGAAAUUCAUAAACUUCAUAAUAGAAAUUUGAACCCCCCAACAGAACUAUGUGAUUUCCCUCAUUUAAAGUUAACAACAUUUGACUAAAAAUAGAUAUUGUAAAUAAUGGGAAUGCACAAGGGCUUGUUUUUGAAGAGUUAUGAGCAAGGCAUAGGAUGAAAAUCUAAGGGUCUCAAGGGUGGAGGAUAGUUGAAGUAUUUAAUUAUAAAAUCAACAUUUUGAUAAAAAUGAGAAUUGAAAUCUAAGCAGAGCAGAUGAAAAUUAUAAUAAAGAUGGAGAAUAAGUUAGAGAUGCAAAUGGGUGGGGGGGGGGAAUCUUUUCUUUCCUAAGUCUGCUAAGUCUUCUAACUUAAUUCUGCUCCUUAACUUGCCUUACUAUUACUUAACCUCCCCCAUACAUGGAUCCCUCCUUUAUCUUUUCUCUCCCCAUCCCUUACAUUCCCCGCUGGCUUUCCCUUUCACUUUAUCUCUUUAUAGAUUUUGAAGGCUGCUAUACUUUUCAUGAUAUAUAUGUAAUGUUGCCUAUGUAACUUAUUCCUGAUGUGAAUAGGUUUUCAGAACUAUGAGCCAUUAUCCCCCCUCUAAUGCCUCUGUGUCUAUUCUUCCUCUGCGUCUCAUUUAUUUAAAUCGUUCUUUUAAGCUACCCAAUUUCUGAUGUCAAUUGUAAAUGCAUGAUAUACAUUUCUAUGUAGAAAACAUAAACAAUUUGUCCACAUUAAAUUCCUUAAAAUUAAUCUUGGAUAUUGAUUCAUAUAUUAAAUUUUGUACUGAAUUCUGGUUUGGUUAAUAGAAAGUCCUGAAAAUCUGCAAAUUCACUAAAUGUCCAUUUUUUCACUGAAUAUUAUAGAUAAUUUUGCUAGAUAUGAUAUUUUUGGCCUUAGACCUAGUUUUUUAAAUUGCCAGUAUAUAUGAUUCCAAGACCUGUGGUCUUUUAUUGCAGCUGCUGACAAGUCCUGUACAAUUCCAAUUAUAGCUCCAGCAUAUUUGAAUUAAUUUUUUCGUUUCUUGCAAAAUGUUCUCUUUGAUCUGGGGAUUUUGAAAUUUGGCUGUAAUAUUCAUAUGUGUUUUCCACAAAGGAUCUUUUUGAGGUGGUGAUUGGUGGAUUUUUUUCUUUUUCUACUUUUCCCUCAUGAUUUUUCACUCCAGAACAUCUUCUUGGAUAAUUUUCUGCAUUAUUGGGUGUAGAGGGCCAGAACUCUGAAAAUGUAUACUUUAAUCAAGGACAGCAGGGUGCUUAUAGGUAACACCUACUCAGUAUGGGAUAAUGGUUCUCUAAACAUAUACUUAAUGUGAUAUGGUGAUGUAAUGGUUGCACAUGCUCAGUUGCUGUUGUGAUGUAAUUGUACUGAAGUAUUUAAGGGCUGGGAAUACUGCGAAGAAGUCUCUCAGCCACAGAUACAGAAGCCUCUCUCAGCCACAAACACAGACACAAAGAUUCCAGACUUUAUCUUUGAGUAUCCAUUCUCUAGAUUAAUUGUGUCCAAUUAUUUGGAUUGCCAUUUGGAAUUCACUCAAUUUUCACUUCCUGGAGGAGGCAGGGUAUUCUACCAAGUCUUUAGACACCAGUGAAGACAGUUAAGAUCCUGAAUCCCAAAGCCUUGAGAAUAGCUUGAUUCAGAUACAGAAGAAAUAAAGGCCUAACUGAGGUCAUGGAUGUAACUGGCUGUGAAAAGAACCAGCAGUAUAAAUGAAAAUAACAAAUGGCAUAACCCUAAAGGGACGGGUAAGCCAAGGUUUCCCAAGGUAACAGUGGUACAACAUUAUGACUGCUUUGUGACUCUCUGAUACUAUCAUCUAUCUGGCAAUCAACAUACAAUUUAAAGCAUGAAUAUUAGGAGGGAAAGGAAAAGAGAAAGUUGGGGUGAGAGGAGAGAUAGACUGAGAACACAUAGAUAUUAGAGGGUAAGAAAUCCAUUGAAAAUGGAUAAUUUCUGAAAUUGCUCUUUUCAAAUUCAGGUAUAAGGUAAAUGCAGUUAAAGAGAAUUCAAAACACAGACCCUUCUAUAAUCUAGGCUCUAUUCACAUAGCUAAUAGUCCUGGUUUCCAGAUGAUAGUCAAAAAAAUAUUAGAUUCAAAUUCUCUAGAUUUUGGCUGGAAUCUCCUUCAGUCACUUAUUAUCUAGGGUACUGUGGGUAAAUCAUUUUAUCCGUCUGUGCAUUGAAUAAACUCAUAUAAUCUUAGCUGAGAGGGACUUCGAAUGCCAUGUGGUUCAAUCUAAAUCUGAGGUUGAAUCCCUCCACAACAUGCCUUAAAAGAUUGCUUUUGACAGAUAUCGCAACACUUCUUUUUUCAAUUUUUUAACAAUUUUUUAAAAUAUCAAGCUUAAUUUGCUUUCUUUGAAAUUUCAACCCAUUGGUCCUAGUUCUGUCCCCUGGAAGCAAGUUUGUUUAUUAUUAUUAUUAGAACAAGACUAUUUCCUCUUCUAUUUGUCAAUCCAUCAAAUAUUAAAGGAUAAAUAAUGUAGUCCCCUUUAAGUCGUCUCUAGGCUAAACACAUUAAGUUUAUGGGUUCAAAAACCUAUUCUCCAUACCUCAUAUUUGGAAGGGAUUCCAUAAGUCAUCUACUCAUAGCCUCUCAUUUUGUAGAUG